rnacentral:rRNA from 1 species
AACGAACGCUGGCGGCAUGCCUAACACAUGCAAGUCGAACGAAGGCUUCGGCCCUAGUGGCGCACGGGUGCGUAACGCGUGGGAAUCUGCCCUUGGGUGCGGAAUAACAGUUAGAAAUGACUGCUAAUACCGCAUAAUGACUCCGGUCCAAAGAUUUAUAGCCCAGGGAUGAGCCCGCGUCGGAUUAGCUAGUUGGUGAGGUAAAGGCUCACCAAGGCGACGAUCCGUAGCUGGUCUGAGAGGAUGAUCAGCCACACUGGGACUGAGACACGGCCCAGACUCCUACGGGAGGCAGCAGUGGGGAAUAUUGGACAAUGGGCGAAAGCCUGAUCCAGCAAUGCCGCGUGAGUGAUGAAGGCCUUAGGGUUGUAAAGCUCUUUUACCCGGGAUGAUAAUGACAGUACCGGGAGAAUAAGCCCCGGCUAACUCCGUGCCAGCAGCCGCGGUAAAAC